rnacentral:rRNA from 1 species
GAUGAACGCUGGCGGCGUGCCUAAUACAUGCAAGUCGAGCGAACAGACGAGGAGCUUGCUCCUCCGACGUUAGCGCCGGACGGGUGAGUCACACGUGGACAAACUAUCUCUAAGACUGGGAUAACAUCGGGAAACCGGGGCUUAUACCGGAUAAUAUAUUGCACCGCAUGGUUCAAUAGUGAAAGUCGGUUUUGCUGUCACUUAUAGAUGGCUCCGCACCGCAUUAGCUACUUGGUAAGGUAACGGCUUACCAAGGCAACGAUGCGUAGCCGACCUGAGAGGGUGAUCGGCCAGGCUGGAACUGAGGCAGGGUCCAGACUCCUAGGUGAAGCAGCAGUAGGGAAUCUUCCGCAAGGCGGGAAAGCCUGACGGAGCAACGCCGCGUAAGUGAUGAAGGUCUACGGAUCGUAAAGCUCUGUUAUUAGGGAAGAACAAAUGUGUAAGUAACUAUGCACGUCUUGACGGUACCUAAUCAGAAAGCCACGGCUAACUGCGUG